AAACGCAUUGAUCACCACCAUUUCGCAUCUACGUCACCUACCGCCUUCUCCUCCGUCUACAAUGGCCUCGCCACGUUCUCUACCACCACCAUUAACCCUAUUCGUCACAUAUUCUCCCCAAUUUAAACAAAUGUCAAUCAACUGAACUGCAAAGAAUAAACACACACUUCGCAAAUGAGUUGCUCAUUCUUCGGUGUUUUUCAUGAUCUAAAAGCUUUUCCUUCUCCUCCGAUUGAUGGAUUGACGUUCUGGUUCCCGACGGUGGUACUACCAGUUCAUACAGAAAUGGCUUCAAUUUCUUCGAGUCCUCGUACAGUAGAAGAGAUUUUUAAAGAUUAUAGCGGUUGUCAUGUCGGGAUAGUUCGUGCUUUAACUCAUGGUGGCAAUUGCAACAGCUGCCAAAGCAAAAGUUCUUCUUGGGAGCUGAAAAGAGUGAACAAGGAUUUCAAUUCUGCAAAAAAAAAAAAAAAAAAAAAAACUAUGUUGUAAGCUGGAAGAAGGCAGUAAAAUUCCCCGAGAGGUUAAUGAAAAGGAAAAUAGCGACCACCCUACACCUAAUGAUGAUAACAUGAUACAUAUCCAACUUGAGAUGUUAUUAGAAGAAAAAUGAAGAGAAUUCAGUAUGGGCACAUGAGAACAUGCAUUUGAGAGAUAUAAUUGAAUUCCACCAACUCAUCAUGCAAGAUUUGGUGUGUUGAGAUGAAGCCACCUAAGAUGUUCAAAUUGACAUAUCUAACCCUGCUUCUGUUUAUGCAUAUACUUGGUCCCACCCAAAGAAACCUCCCAACGACCAUGACUUACUACUUGUAGGAGUGCAUUAUCUAUGCUAAAAAGAACAUCUUUAGUUGAAAAAUCAAGACAUGAGCCUCCUGAAAAAUGUGAGUUAUAACAGAUGGAAAGCUAUAUUACCUCAAUAGCCUUUUGAUACCACUUAUCUUUGUGUCCUUUAUCAUAAAUUUAACAUUUAUUUAACCUACCAGACUAUGAAAAGCUGUAUUUAUUGUGUUGACCCUUCACUCGCUUCAUGUGGAGUUACUAUUGUAAAACAACUCGCUCAAGUUGAUUGUCAUGUCCUCGAGGCACCAAAGGUUUGUGUAAUAUUUUUCUUAUUCAUUUUUUUAUUUUAAUAACAAGGUUUGUGUGACAGGGGCAUUUCUAUAAAUUGCUAGUAUCUGUUUUUUUGCAUUAUCUAUGUUUUAAUUUUUUUCUCUUGUAGAAGCUUUUCACUCCCAUUAAAAUCGAGAAACGGGUAUUUGUUAAUUUUCUGGCAAGUGUGAUGCAAGUUAUCUUUUUAUGGGAGCUCUUAAAAUGUGGAAAAAAUAAAGGAAAUUUGAAGAACUUAAAGAUAAUGAUGAAGAUGAUGACGUGGCUGCCUUUGAAAGAAAGAUGUAAGAUGUUGGAAUGCCUCCAAAUAUUUGGAAACAUGCACAUAAUGAAUUAAGGAGAUUGAAAAAGAUGCAACCUCAAUGUAUCGUAGCUCAUGUGUUUACAUUGAGCUUCUUGCUCACAUGCCAUGGUAGACAACAAGAGACAACAACCGAAGAAGUUGAAUUUGACUUAAAAGUUGUAGAAGAUAUACUUGAUAAUGAACCACUUAUAGCUUAGUUAAAGUCAAACAAAUGAUUAUUGAAUAUCUUUGCAAGGUUAGAAAAACAUUUAUUUUUUCCUAGGUAGUGUUUGUUUGUUAUGAUUAAUGGUGCAAGGAAUGUAAUGUUUCAUUCCAUUAGAUGAAAAAGAAAAUGUUGUUUAUUUUGUCUUAUGUAUGAAAUUUUUAUUAUUUUUUGUGUGCUAUAAUUUAAUUAUUUAUUGUAUUAUAAAAUAUAGAAUCUUAUGAGUAUAUACCCAUGCAAAAUGUGCCA